GGUCGUGCCCUGUAGUGCGCCCGCUCUCCGCUUCGGCUGCCCCUUAUCAUCGGGCAGGCUGGCUGACUCACUGCUGUGGUGGGGAGAGGGAAAGACUUCACAUGUGAGAGAGGAGUGUGGAAUCAAAAUGACAAAAUAAGAUUUCAGGAGCGUAUUUCAGUGAAAACAUUUCUGGGC